GGGGAUGUAGCUCAGGGGUAGAGCACUUCCCUAGAAUGUAUGAGGCUCUGGGUUCAAUCCCCAGUACCG
rfam:Fukomys damarensis contig74121, whole genome shotgun sequence.